AGGAAGAGAAAGUAAAAACGAUUUCGUAAGUAGCGGCGAGCGAACGCGAAGAAGGGCAAACCAAGAAGCUUGCUUCUUGGGGUUGUAGGACUGCAACGUGGACUUAAGCAUUAUAGUCGAAUAACCUGGGAAGGUUAAUCAAAGAGGGUAAUAAUCCCGUAGACGAAAUAGCGCUUAUACCUAGCAGUAUCCUGAGUAGGGCUGGACACGCGAAAUCCAGUUUGAAUCCGGGAGGACCAUCUCCCAACCCUAAAUACUCCUUAGUGACCGAUAGUGAACCAGUACCGUGAGGGA
rnacentral:rRNA from 1 species